CACUGGAUUCAGAAGGAAAUAUUUCAUUUCAGGAAAUAUUUAAAUAAACCCAAGAGGGGGUGGGAUGGCUGAACCCCACAGAGAGAGAAAAAGAGUUUACUGGGGGCCUGCUGUGGGAACAGCAUCCCAGAUGGAUGGCAGGGCACAUGCAAAGGCCCUGAGGUGAGAACAAGCUGGUCACGUUUAGGGAACAUGGUGAAAGCGUUAGUUGCUCAGUUUUCUAAGACUCUGCCACACCCCUGGACUGUAGCCCACCAGGCUCCUCUGUCCAUGAAAUUCUCCAGGCAAGAAUACUGGAGUGGGUUGCCAUUUCCUACUCCAGGGGAUCUUUCUGACCCAAGCAUCAAACCCAGGUGUCCUGCACUGCAGGAAGAAUUGUUUAUUGUCUGAGUCACCAGGGAAGACCAUAGAGAUCAUGGAGGUGCUAAAGCUGUUGAGGGAGGGAAAGGAGGGUAGGGAGGUUGACUGUAUAGGUGGGGCUUCAGAGAGGAGGAUAGCAGCUUUGGUUUUGUUGAGAAGGUGCAGGGAAGCCAUGAGAGGGUUAUAGCAAAGGAGCACAGGCUCUGGGCUCCCGCUGUGGAGGAUGGGGGCUCCUUAGGGUAGUACCAGGUCCAGGGCCCCUUGGGAACUUACCACUGCUUGGCAAAAGUGGGCACUGAUCCUGAGCCACAGUCCUGGAAGGGGAAGUGGGGCCACCGUCCCCAGUCACCUCCUGGGCUGGGCCAAGGCCUGGUGUGAAUCACUGCUGGCUGGGUCCCGGCUGACACACACUUUGGCCUCAGCUCAGCAAAGUCCUGCCAAAGCCACACAGCCUGGCCCACAGGCCUCUGGCUGGCCUCCCUGGGGAGCCUGCAGGGUGUGGGGACAUGGAAGCAAGAGGCCUUCGGGGAUGCUCAGCCUUCCUCUCCAAAGACCCUGUCUUUUCCACACUGUGGGUGAGGUUCUGGGCAAAACCAGGGACAUGGCAGUUGGACUAAACUUCGGUCUUUUGUUUCAGCAGUCACCAGGAUAGCUCCUAUCCAGGCCCUAAGACAGCCAAACACAAAUCCAGGGUGACCACGGCAAUAAUAGUAGAAGCACAGAGCACCGAUGGAGCCCCAUAAGGGCACCUGCAGCAGAGGCUGAAAGGUGGAGAUGAGCUGUGUGGCUGAGGGGAAGAAGUGUAUCAGGCCAGCAGCUGUGCAAAGGCCCUGAGGCCAGAAGGAAAGGGAAGUUAGUUUGGGGGGUGGAGCCUGUAAAGAGACACCUGCCCAGGGCCAAGUGCAGUCAAAGCCUUUUUUCCAGAAAAGUUUCAAGGAGGGGUCAGAUCUGUGGUUUCCAAAAAGUCCUUCAGGGCACAGGCUAGUGAAAAGACUGGGCUUCCACCGAGCCCCGAGGUCCUUCGAGGGAGGUCAAAGGCCCCCAUGCUGCCGUUUAGCAGGAAGGUGUAAGACACUCUUGAUCCUUUUUGGCUGUGCAGGGUCUUCGUUGCAGCAUGCAAACUUUUAGUUCUCACAUGUGGGAUCUAGCUCCCUGCCCUCUGAGCAUGGAGUCUUUAUCCACUGGACCACCAGAUAAGUCCCAAGAAACAUCUGAUCUUUGUCCUUGGUUUUUAGCACACAGCUUCUAAAACUUGGUGAACUCUGGAGUGAUGUGUUUUGUAUGCUAAUAACAAAAGCAGUGGCCCAAGGCACUCAAAUAGCUUCAGAAUGGGGGCUGUUCUCCAAAAAGACCAAGGUAUGACCCUGCUGUGUGAAGUCAUUUAGUGCUCUACACUUUGCAACCUCGUGGAAGAACCCACUGGCUCUCUGUCCACGGGAUUCUUCAGGCAAGAAUACUGGAAUGGGUUGCCAUUCCUACUCCAGGGAAGGCGUGAUUAGGUGGUUGUAAAUUUCAGCCCCCACUUCCCAGACCUCGGGGGAGGGGAGAUGGCUGGAGUUUUUGAGUUAAUCUUCCCAAAAUGCCAGUG
ensembl:lncRNA